rnacentral:rRNA from 1 species
AUUGAACGCUGGCGGCAUGCCUUACACAUGCAAGUCGAACGGCAGCGGACCUUCGGGUGCCGGCGAGUGGCGAACGGGUGAGUAAUAUAUCGGAACGUACCUUUCAGUGGGGGAUAACGUAGCGAAAGUUACGCUAAUACCGCAUAUUCUGUGAGCAGGAAAGCAGGGGAUCGCAAGACCUUGCGCUGAUUGAGCGGCCGAUAUCAGAUUAGCUAGUUGGUGAGGUAAAGGCUCACCAAGGCGGCGAUCUGUAGCGGGUCUGAGAGGAUGAUCCGGCCACACUGGAACUGAGACACGGUCCAGGACUCCUACGGGAGCAGCAGUGGGGAAUUUUGGACAAUGGGCGCAAGCCUGAUCCAGCCAUGCCGCGUGAGUGAAGAA